CUAGCCCAAUGGUUGCCAUUAAUUUGAUUCUAAAAUCAAUUCAGAAUCAAAUUAAUGGCAACCAUUGGGCUAGA